AGUGAACGCUGGCGGUAGGCCUAACACAUGCAAGUCGAACGGCAGCACAGUAAGAGCUUGCCCUUACGGGUGGCGAGUGGCGGACGGGUGAGGAAUACAUCGGAAUCUACUUUUUCGUGGGGGAUAACGUAGGGAAACUUACGCUAAUACCGCAUACGACCUACGGGUGAAAGCAGGGGAUCUUCGGACCUUGCGCGAUUGAAUGAGCCGAUGUCGGAUUAGCUAGUUGGCGGGGUAAAGGCCCACAAAGGCGACGAUCCGUAGCUGGUCUGAGAGGAUGAUCGGCCACACUGGAACUGAAACACGGUCCAGACUCCUACGGGAGGCAGCAGUGGGGAAUAUUGGACAAUGGGCGCAAGCCUGAUCCAGCCAGACCGCGUGGGUGAAGAAGGCCUUCGGGUUGUAAAGCCCUUUUGUUGGGAAAGAAAAGCGGCAGGUUAAUACCCCGCUGUUCUGACGGUACCCAAAGAAUAAGCACCGGCUAACUUCGUG
rnacentral:rRNA from 1 species